rnacentral:rRNA from 1 species
UACGUAGGGGGGCAAGCGUUUGUCCGGAUUUAUUGGGCGUAAAGAGCGUGUAGGCGGCUAGGUAGGUCCGUUGUGAAAACUCGAGGCUUAACCUCGAGCUGUCGGCGGAAACCAUCUGGCUAGAGUCCGGAAGAGGAGAAUGGAAUUCCCGGUGUAGCGGUGAAAUGCGCAGAUAUCGGGAAGAACACCAAUGGCGAAGGCAGCUCGCUGGGACGGUACUGACGCUGAGACGCGAAAGCGUGGGGAGGCAAACAGG